AGAGUUUGAUCAUGGCUCAGAUUGAACGCUGGCGGCAGGCCUAACACAUGCAAGUCGAACGGUAGCACAGAGAGCUUGCUCUCGGGUGACGAGUGGCGGACGGGUGAGUAAUGUCUGGGAAACUGCCCGAUGGAGGGGGAUAACUACUGGAAACGGUAGCUAAUACCGCAUAACGUCGCAAGACCAAAGUGGGGGACCUUCGGGCCUCACACCAUCGGAUGUGCCCAGAUGGGAUUAGCUAGUAGGUGGGGUAACGGCUCACCUAGGCGACGAUCCCUAGCUGGUCUGAGAGGAUGACCAGCCACACUGGAACUGAGACACGGUCCAGACUCCUACGGGAGGCAGCAGUGGGGAAUAUUGCACAAUGGGCGCAAGCCUGAUGCAGCCAUGCCGCGUGUAUGAAGAAGGCCUUCGGGUUGUAAAGUACUUUCAGCGAGGAGGAAGGCGUUGUGGUUAAUAACCACAGCGAUUGACGUUACUCGCAGAAGAAGCACCGGCUAACUCCGUGCCAGCAGCCGCGGUAAUACGGAGGGUGCAAGCGUUAAUCGGAAUUACUGGGCGUAAAGCGCACGCAGGCGGUUUGUUAAGUCAGAUGUGAAAUCCCCGGGCUCAACCUGGGAACUGCAUUUGAAACUGGCAAGCUUGAGUCUCGUAGAGGGGGGUAGAAUUCCAGGUGUAGCGGUGAAAUGCGUAGAGAUCUGGAGGAAUACCGGUGGCGAAGGCGGCCCCCUGGACAAAGACUGACGCUCAGGUGCGAAAGCGUGGGGAGCAAACAGGAUUAGAUACCCUGGUAGUCCACGCCGUAAACGAUGUCUACUUGGAGGUUGUGCCCUUGAGGCGUGGCUUCCGGAGCUAACGCGUUAAGUAGACCGCCUGGGGAGUACGGCCGCAAGGUUAAAACUCAAAUGAAUUGACGGGGGCCCGCACAAGCGGUGGAGCAUGUGGUUUAAUUCGAUGCAACGCGAAGAACCUUACCUGGUCUUGACAUCCACGGAAGUUUUCAGAGAUGAGAAUGUGCCUUCGGGAACCGUGAGACAGGUGCUGCAUGGCUGUCGUCAGCUCGUGUUGUGAAAUGUUGGGUUAAGUCCCGCAACGAGCGCAACCCUUAUCCUUUGUUGCCAGCGGUUAGGCCGGGAACUCAAAGGAGACUGCCAGUGAUAAACUGGAGGAAGGUGGGGAUGACGUCAAGUCAUCAUGGCCCUUACGACCAGGGCUACACACGUGCUACAAUGGCGCAUACAAAGAGAAGCGACCUCGCGAGAGCAAGCGGACCUCAUAAAGUGCGUCGUAGUCCGGAUUGGAGUCUGCAACUCGACUCCAUGAAGUCGGAAUCGCUAGUAAUCGUGGAUCAGAAUGCCACGGUGAAUACGUUCCCGGGCCUUGUACACACCGCCCGUCACACCAUGGGAGUGGGUUGCAAAAGAAGUAGGUAGCUUAACCUUCGGGAGGGCGCUUACCACUUUGUGAUUCAUGACUGGGGUGAAGUCGUAACAAGGUAACCGUAGGGGAACCUGCGGUUGGAUCACCUCCUU
rnacentral:rRNA from 1 species